rnacentral:tRNA from 1 species
GAUGAGGUGGCUGAGUGGUUAAGGUAAUGGACUGCUACUCCAUUAUACUCUGCACGCAUAGGUUCAAAUCCCAUCCUCGUCA